UACGUAGGUGGCAAGCGUUGUCCGGAUUUACUGGGCGUAAAGGGCGUGCAGGCGGUUUGUUAAGUGCAGGGUGAAAGCUCCCGGCUCAACUGGGAGAGGUCCUUGCAUACUGGCAAACUCGAGGGAGGCAGAGGAAAGUGGAAUUCCCGGUGUAGUGGUGAUAUGCGUAGAUAUCGGGAGGAACAUCAGUGGCGAAAGCGGCACCCUGGCAUUAGCCUGACGCUCAGGUGCGAAAGCGUGGGGAGCGAACGGG
rnacentral:rRNA from 1 species